rnacentral:rRNA from 1 species
AAGCUCGUAGUUGAAUUUCGAAUGUGGCUGGGCGGUCCGCCUCACGGUGUGUACUGUCUGGCUGUGUUCUCUUUCUUGGUGAGCCGGCAUGCCCUUUACUGGGUGUGUUGGGGAACCAGGACGUUUACCUUGAGAAAAUUAGAGUGUUCAAAGCAGGCCUACGCCCGAAUACAUUAGCAUGGCAUAAUAAAAUAGGACGUGCGGUUCUAUUUUGUUGGUUCCUAGAGCCGCAGUAAUGAUUAAUAGGGAUAGUUGGG